GCAUAAUCUCUAAGGAGAAAAGCAGGGGAUCGCAAGACCUUGCGCUUUUGGAGCGGCCGAUGUCUGAUUAGCUAGUUGGUGAGGUAAAGGCUUACCAAGGCUUCGAUCAGUAGCUGGUCUGAGAGGACGACCAGCCACACUGGGACUGAGGCACGGCCCAGUCUCCUACGGGAGGCAGCAGUGGGGAAUUUUGGACAAUGGGGGCAACCCUGAUCCAGCCAUGCCGCGUGAGUGAAGAAGGCCUUCGGGUUGUAAAGCUUCUUCAGCCGGAACGAAAAGGUUACGGUUAAUACCCGUGACUAAUGACGGUACCGGAAGAAGAAG
rnacentral:rRNA from 1 species